rnacentral:rRNA from 1 species
AUUGAACGCUGGCGGCAGGCCUAACACAUGCAAGUCGAACGGUAACAGGAAGAAGCUUGCUUCUUUGCUGACGAGUGGCGGACGGGUGAGUAAUGUCUGGGAAACUGCCUGAUGGAGGGGGAUAACUACUGGAAACGGUAGCUAAUACCGCAUAAUGUCGCAAGACCAAAGAGGGGGACCUUCGGGCCUCUUGCCAUCGGAUGUGCCCAGAUGGGAUUAGCUAGUAGGUGGGUAACGGCUCACCUAGGCGACGAUCCCUAGCUGGUCUGAGAGGAUGACCAGCCACACUGGAACUGAGACACGGUCCAGACUCCUACGGGAGGCAGCAGUGGGGAAUAUGCACAAUGGGCGCAAGCCUGAUGCAGCCAUGCCGCGUGUAUGAAGAAGGCCUCGGUUGUAAGUA